rnacentral:rRNA from 1 species
AAAAAGAACCUGAAACCGUGUACGUACAAGCAGUGGGAGCACCCUUCGGGGUGUGACUGCGUACCUUUUGUAUAAUGGGUCAGCGACUUAUAUUCUGUAGCAAGGUUAACCGUAUAGGGGAGCCGGAGGGAAACCGAGUCUUAACCGGGCGUUAAGUUGCAGGGUAUAGACCCGAAACCCGGUGAUCUAGCCAUGGGCAGGUUGAAGGUUGGGUAACACUAACUGGAGGACCGAACCGACUAAUGUUGAAAAA